rnacentral:rRNA from 1 species
AUUGAACGCUGGCGGCAGGCCUAACACAUGCAAGUCGAGCGAGCGGCGGACGGGUGAGUAAUGUCUGGGCAACUGCCUGAUCUAGGGGGAUAACUACUGGAAACGGUAGCUAAUACCGCAUACCCUCAGAUUGGCCCAGAUGGGAUUAGCUAGUAGGUGGGGUAACGGCUCACCUGGGCGACGAUCCCUAGCUGGUCUGAGAGGAUGACCAGACAAACUGGAAAUGAGACACGGUCAAGACGCCUACGGGAUGCAGCAGUGGGGAAUAUUGGACAAUGGGGGGAACCCUGAUCCAGCCAUGCCGCGUGUGUGAAGAAGGCCUUAUGGUUGUAAAGCACUUUAAUCGAGGAGGCGUUACUCGCAGAAUAAGGACCGGCUAACUCUGUGCCAGCAGCCGCGGUAAUUC